GAUGAUAGAGGUGUGUCUGAGGGCAGUAGGGAAAAGGUUCUGAAGUUCAAGGGGAUGGGAUAUCUUUUCAGAGUUUAUUGCCCUUUUGAGUUUUUGUGAAUUACCUGUUUCAUAGCCAUUACUCUAGUUUUCUAUUGGUGAACGUUUGAUUUUGGUUUGAGCUUGUUUAUUGAAGUACUUCAUUAAUACUGAAAAUGAUAUGCACCUCUACACAUUGUGUAAUGAGCACCCAAAUCAGGAAGUAGAAUGUUACUAGCACCCAGAAGCCACAUUUGAGCCCCCACCCUUUCUAGUCACUAUCCCAUUUCCUGGGUUCGAUUUUUAAAAGGAUCUUAUGUUGCUUACCUUGAACAACAAAAUUUCAUAUUAAAGUGUACUGGGGGAGGUAAUAUGAGAAGCCAAAAAUGAUCCUAGCCAUGGUGCAUGAUACACAGAAAAUGGCUUGAAAACCCACAAUAACAAUUUUUCAUCUGAAAACUGGCCUCUUGGCAGGGCACUGUAGUUGGAUAUGCACGAGAGAUGAUGAUCUUUUCCGCCUUCUCGCUCAUCAGCUCUACUCCUGUCUGACUGGAAACAAGCUGUUUUGGCAAGCGAAAAUGUGCUCUAGGUGACAAGGGGCCUCACCCAGUUAGCCAGGAUGGUUUGGGUCUCCCACACCUGCCUGACUGUGGUUCGGAGUCUAGGGGUAGGGCUUGUGAAACAGCUGGAAGCCAGGCUUGAGUCAGGGAAGAGCUCUGAGGAAUGGCCACUAUGGUUUUUCUUAACUGUAAAAUAUGUCUCAUAAGUGUACAUUGCCAGAUUCUGCUUUUUGAUAGCUGUUAAUUUCCAGUAUUUUGACCACUGCUAUUAAAAAAAAUGUAAAAGCUGGAGUUUUGGCCUAUGAAUUUCUUGACAAAAAGCAGGGAAGCAAAUGCUCAUAGAGCAUUAUGAUGAAGGCUUUUUAUUAUACUAUCAGGAGCAGGAAGUACCAGUUUCUUUUAUUUUAGCUAUAGCUAUAGCAUCUGUUGAAAAAUAAAGGUAAUCAAAAAUAGCAUAAAUAUUAAAGAUUAUUAGGAAAAAAUGGUAAGGACGAAAUACUGCUUGCUUGCUUUCAGAUAGUCACGUUGUACCACAUUCUCUAAAAUUCUUUGAAGUUUAGAUGAGUAUAAUAUCAGAGUUUGUUAUAAUUAAUGUACCAAUAACUUACUGAUAUUACAUUUCUUGAGGGAAAUAUUUUCAUUCUCUUGUCAGUUGCUCAGUGAUGUAUGAGAAUGAAUAAAGAUAGGUUAGGAUGUUGAAUGGCCAUAUAAGGAGUUGUUCCUCCUUUAGGUUGCAUUGUCCUGAUGUUCAGUUGCUAAGUCACAUCUGACUCUUUGUGACCCUGUGGGCUGCAGCAUGCCAAGCUUCCCUGUCCUUCAUCAUCUCCUGGAGUUUGCUCAAACUCAUGUCCAU
rnacentral:lncRNA from 1 species